rnacentral:lncRNA from 10 species
GAGGAUCGCUUGAGUCCAGGAGGUCCAGGCUGCAGUGAGCCAUGAUUGUGCUACUGCACUCCAGCCUGGGUGACAGAGAGAGAACCUGUCUCAGAAACAAAGCACAACCAAAACCAAAACCAAAAACAAUUGGAGUUUGAGCCUUGGAAAAAAGAGGAGCCAGCAAAGGAUGCCCUGAAGGAGAAGCUGAUGAGUAUGAGGCCCUCACCUGAGCAGAUGCUGGUGCCAUGCUUCUUGGACUUCCCAGCCUCCACAAUUAGGCAAACUGUGAUUCUAAGUAUGACACAGAGUCCUGAGAUGCAAUGAAGACAAUCUCCAUCAAUUCUGUUGUGAACUCUUCACGGGCAAAGAUGGGAUCUGAUUGUCAUUCAAAACGCAGUGCCUAAUUCAAUGCCUGGCACAUUGUCCGGUGAAUGAACUUAUUAACCCACAACAAAAUGUAACUGCAGGAGAGACCAGAAUAUUCUUGGCCAUUGGCGUGGAUUUGGAAAUGAGAAAUGUGGAAAAGCAGCCCUGUGCAGGGACACACAUCUGGCAAGCAUGGCGGUGACGGCCUUCAGCUCAUCAGGGUGGAGAUCCUGGCACCCAGUCCCCUGUGUCUUCUGGGCAUAGUGAGCUUGGCUGUGGUGUCCUUGGUCCCGAAAGUGUUUUUGGGUAUCUGCCCUAAUUGCUCGACUUUUCUGGCUCACCUGGGAUUUCUCUGAGUAGCCAAGUAUCAUUUAAUAAAGUUAUUUUCUGCCUACGCUAGACAGGAUAACUUGUUUUUGCAACUAACAUUCUUAUUCAACAUUCACAGCGUUGCUCUAAUUUCAACAGCCAUUUCCAGAGAAAUGUUGCCUUGUAAUUGUUCUGAUGAAGGCUUCUGUACAGAAUAGUUAGAUACUUUAAGUAAUAUGGAAGUUAUUCCUUUAAUGAUCUUGCUCAAUUUCCCUAAUUUCUGUUGCUUCUCUCAUUUACUAACCCCUCCCACCUUUUUAAAAACCAUUUAAC